CGAGUGGGAACCACCUGAUCCCUUGCCGAACUCAGAAGUGAAACCGCUCAGCGCCGAUGGUAGUGUGGGGUCUCCCCAUGCGAGAGUAGGUCAUCGUCAGGC
rnacentral:rRNA from 1 species